CCUACGGGAGGCAGCAGUGAGGAAUAUUGGUCAAUGGGCGAGAGCCUGAACCAGCCACGUCGCGUGAAGGAUGAAGGAUCUAUGGUUUGUAAACUUCUUUUAUAUGGGAAUACAGUGAGGAACGUGUUCCUUUUUGUAUGUACCAUAUGAAUAAGCAUCGGCUAACUCCGUGCCAGCAGCCGCGGUAAUACGGAGGAUGCGAGCGUUAUCCGGAUUUAUUGGGUUUAAAGGGUGCGUAGGUGGUUCAUUAAGUCAGCGGUGAAAGUUUGUGGCUCAACCAUAAAAUGGCCGUUGAAACGGGCUGACUUGAGUAUAUUUGAGGUAGGCGGAAUGCGUGGUGUAGCAGUGAAAUGCAUAGAUAUCACGCAGAACAACGAUUGCGAAGGCAGCUGACUGGACUAUAACUGACGUUGAGGAUCGAAAGCGUGGGUAGCAAACAGGAUUAGAUACCCGGGUAGUC
rnacentral:rRNA from 1 species